rnacentral:rRNA from 1 species
GAUGAACGCUGGCGGCGUGCCUAAUACAUGCAAGUCGAGCGAACGGACGAGAAGCUUGCUUCUCUGAUGUUAGCGGCGGACGGGUGAGUAACACGUGGAUAACCUACCUAUAAGACUGGGAUAACUUCGGGAAACCGGAGCUAAUACUGGAUAAUAUUUUGAACCGCAUGGUUCAAAAGUGAAAGACGGUCUUGCUGCCACUUAUAGAUGGAUCCGCGCUGCAUUAGCUAGUUGGUAAGGUAACGGCUUACCAAGGCAACGAUGCAUAGCCGACCUGAGAGGGUGAUCGGCCACACUGGAACUGAGACACGGUCCAGACUCCUACGGGAGGCAGCAGUAGGGAAUCUUCCGCAAUGGGCGAAAGCCUGACGGAGCAACGCCGCGUGAGUGAUGAAGGUCUUCGGAUCGUAAAACUCUGUUAUUAGGGAAGAACAUAUGUGUAAGUAACUGUGCACAUCUUGACGGUACCUAAUCAGAAAGCCACGGCUAACUACGUG